UACAGAGGUCUCGAGCGUUGUUCGGAUUCAUUGGGCGUAAAGGGCGCGUAGGCGGCGGGGUAAGUCUGGUGUGAAAUCUAGGAGCUCAACUCCUAAACUGCACUGGAUACUGCUCUGCUGGAGGACUGGAGAGGAGACUGGAAUUCACGGUGUAGCAGUGAAAUGCGUAGAUAUCGUGAGGAAGACCAGUGGCGAAGGCGGGUCUCUGGACAGUUCCUGACGCUGAGGCACGAAGGCCAGGGGAGCAAACGGG
rnacentral:rRNA from 1 species